UACAGAGGGGGCAAGCGUUGUUCGGAAUUACUGGGCGUAAAGGGCGCGUAGGCGGCCUUCUAAGUCGAACGUGAAAUCCCCGGGCUCAACCCGGGAACUGCGUCCGAUACUGGAAGGCUUGAAUCCGGGAGAGGGAUGUGGAAUUCCAGGUGUAGCGGUGAAAUGCGUAGAUAUCGGGAGGAAUACCAGUGGCGAAGGCGGCCUUCUGGACGGAUACUGACGCUGAGGCGCGAAAGCCAGGGGAGCAAACGGG
rnacentral:rRNA from 1 species